rnacentral:rRNA from 1 species
UACAGAGGUGGCAAGCGUUGUUCGGAAUUACUGGGCGUAAAGGGCGCGUAGGCGGUCUGGUCAGUCCCGUGUGAAAUCCCUCGGCUCAACUGAGGAACUGCACGGGAAACUGCCUGGCUUGAGUUCGGGAGAGGGAAGCGGAAUUCCGGGUGUAGCGGUGAAGUGCGUAGAUAUCCGGAGGAACACCGGUGGCGAAGGCGGCUUCCUGGACCGACACUGACGCUGAUGCGCGAAAGCUAGGGGAGCAAACGGG